GGAGGGUGCAAGCGUUAAUCGGAAUUACUGGGCGUAAAGCGCACGCAGGCGGUUUGUUAAGUCAGAUGUGAAAUCCCCGCGCUUAACGUGGGAACUGCAUUUGAAACUGGCAAGCUAGAGUCUUGUAGAGGGGGGUAGAAUUCCAGGUGUAGCGGUGAAAUGCGUAGAGAUCUGGAGGAAUACCGGUGGCGAAGGCGGCCCCCUGGACAAAGACUGACGCUCAGGUGCGAAAGCGUGGGGAGCAAACAGGAUUAGAUACCCUGGUAGUCCACGCUGUAAACGAUGUCGACUUGGAGGUUGUGCCCUUGAGGCGUGGCUUCCGGAGCUAACGCGUUAAGUCGACCGCCUGGGGAGUACGGCCGCAAGGUUA
rnacentral:rRNA from 1 species